CCUACGGGUGGCUGCAGUGGGGAAUAUUGGACAAUGGGCGAAAGCCUGAUCCAGCCAUGCCGCGUGUGUGAAGAAGGCCUUCGGGUUGUAAAGCACUUUCAGUGGGGAAGAAAGCCUUGGGGCUAAUACCCUCGAGGAAGGACAUCACCCACAGAAGAAGCACCGGCUAACUCCGUGCCAGCAGCCGCGGUAAUACGGAGGGUGCGAGCGUUAAUCGGAAUUACUGGGCGUAAAGCGCGCGUAGGCGGUCUGAUAAGCCGGUUGUGAAAGCCCCGGGAUCAACCUGGGAACGGCAUCCGGAACUGUCAGGCUAGAGUGCAGGAGAGGAAGGUAGAAUUCCCGGUGUAGCGGUGAAAUGCGUAGAGAUCGGGAGGAAUACCAGUGGCGAAGGCGGCCUUCUGGACUGACACUGACGCUGAGGUGCGAAAGCGUGGGUAGCAAACAGGAUUAGAUACCCCGGUAGUC
rnacentral:rRNA from 1 species